AGUGAUACUCGUGGCACGUUGAUUGCACCCGUUCUGAAUGGUUCACUGAAGUUAAGCAACGUUGCGCGUGAUUGGUAUAUGGAUGGGUGACCAUCUGGACAAUCGCGUUGCUGCUG
rfam:Asian citrus Psyllid, Diaphorina citri - Florida Strain, whole genome shotgun sequence.